rnacentral:lncRNA from 1 species
AUGGCUGCUGUUAACACCGUUGCUAACAACCACAAAACCAUCCAGGUGGCGGGUAGUAGCUCUACAUCUCUCCCUAACGACCUCAACUCCUUUUUCACCAGGUUUGAGACUGACAACUCCACCCAACUGGCAAAUACAUUAACAACACUGAAACCUGGUGACUCCACACUCACCUUUAAAACAGAGGAGGUGGUCAGAGCCCUCAGGAAGACCAGGGAGAACAGCUCUCCUGGCCCAGACAACAUCAGUGGCCGCGUCCUGAGGUUCUGUGCUGAGCAGCUGGAGGGAGUGUUCCAAACCCUGUUUCAGAGAUCCAUGGACACCAGCACAGUCCCCCAGCUGUGGAAGCACUCUAUAGUCAUCCCCAUCCCAAAGAAAAGCACCAUCAACACUCUGAACGACCUCAGGCCUGUGGCCCUCACAUCCCUGGUGAUGAAGGCCAUGGAGAGGGUCGUUAAAAAACACAUCCUCACUGUAACCGACACCCUGAUGGACUCACUACAGUAUGCUUACCGCGCAGGCAGAGGUGUGGACGACGCAAAAGCAUUCAUCAUUGACACUGUACACAAACAUCUAGAGCGGCCCAACACAUUAGCCAGACACUUGUUUAUAGACUUCUCUUCUGCAUUCAAUACACUACAGCCCCACAUCCUGGCAAACAAACUCACCUCCUACUUCCAUCUAGACGACCAGCUCAUCCGGUGGAUACUGGACUUUCUAACCGACAGGUCACAGAGAGUCCGGGUCAACAACACCUUCUCCGACCUCCGACACACCUCGACGGGCUCCCCUCAGGACUGUGUGCUCUCACCUCUGCUCUUCAUCCUCUAUACAGAUGACUGCAGAUCCACACAGCCUCAGUGUCACCUGGUGAAGUACGCAGACGACACAGUUCUCCUGUCCCUGCUCUCAGGUCCUUCACAGCAGCAUGGAUCAGCUCUCCAGGAGUUUGUGGAGUGGUGCGACAGCUCAUGCCUUGAGAUGAACGUGAGUAAGACCAAAGAGAUGGUGGUGACCUUUUCUAAGAGUGUGACGACCCUGGUGAGUCUUUGA